rnacentral:rRNA from 1 species
UACAGAGGUCUUAAGCGUUGUUCGGAUUCAUUGGGCGUAAAGGGUGCGUAGGCGGCGCGGUAAGUCGGGUGUGAAAUCUCGGAGCUUAACUCCGAAACUGCAUUCGAUACUGCCGUGCUUGAGGACUGGAGAGGAGACUGGAAUUUACGGUGUAGCGGUGAAAUGCGUAGAUAUCGUAAGGAAGACAGUGGCGAAGGCGGCUCACGUGGCCCGGUAC